GCGGGGGAAGCUCUCAACGAGCUAGGGUCGUCGCCUUGGUGAGUUUUACCUUUGCUGACAGGUGAUGGACUUGGGCUAUGCUUGGGGAGUGCCUUGAGGUGGGGGACAACAGUUGGAAACGACUGCUAAUACCGCAUAAUGUCUACGGACCAAAGGGGGCUUCGGCUCUCGCCUUUAGAUUGGCCCAAGUGGGAUUAGCUAGUUGGUGAGGUAAUGGCUCACCAAGGCGACGAUCCCUAGCUGGUUUGAGAGGAUGAUCAGCCACACUGGGACUGAGACACGGCCCAGACUCCUACGGGAGGCAGCAGUGGGGAAUAUUGCACAAUGGGCGCAAGCCUGAUGCAGCCAUGCCGCGUGUGUGAAGAAGGCCUUCGGGUUGUAAAGCACUUUCAGUCAGGAGGAAAGCGUGGUGGUUAAUACCCAUCAUGUGUGACGUUACUGACAGAAGAAGCACCGGCUAACUCCGUGCCAGCAGCCGCGGUAAUACGGAGGGUGCGAGCGUUAAUCGGAAUUACUGGGCGUAAAGCGUACGCAGGCGGUUUGUUAAGCGAGAUGUGAAAGCCCCGGGCUCAACCUGGGAACUGCAUUUCGAACUGGCAAACUAGAGUGUGAUAGAGGGUGGUAGAAUUUCAGGUGUAGCGGUGAAAUGCGUAGAGAUCUGAAGGAAUACCGAUGGCGAAGGCAGCCACCUGGGUCAACACUGACGCUCAUGUACGAAAGCGUGGGGAGCAAACGGGAUUAGAUACCCCGGUAGUCCACGCCGUAAACGAUGUCUACUAGAAGCUCGGAGCCUCGGUUCUGUUUUUCAAAGCUAACGCAUUAAGUAGACCGCCUGGGGAGUACGGCCGCAAGGUUAAAACUCAAAUGAAUUGACGGGGGCCCGCACAAGCGGUGGAGCAUGUGGUUUAAUUCGAUGCAACGCGAAGAACCUUACCUACACUUGACAUACAGAGAACUUACCAGAGAUGGUUUGGUGCCUUCGGGAACUCUGAUACAGGUGCUGCAUGGCUGUCGUCAGCUCGUGUUGUGAGAUGUGGUUAAGUCCCGCAACGAGCGCAACCCCUAUCCUUAGUUGCUAGCAGGUAAUGCUGAGAACUUCUAAGAGACUGC
rnacentral:rRNA from 1 species